rnacentral:misc_RNA from 1 species
GAUGAAGAACGCAGCGAAAUGCGAUAAUUAAUGUGAAUUGCAGAAUUUAGUGAAUCAUCGAGUCUUUGAACGCACAUUGCGCCUCAUGGUAUUCCGUGAGGCAUGCCUGUCUGAGCGUCAACAACACCACUCAAGCAUUGCUUUCUUGCUCUGCCUGGUCCAUGUCAGGGAAGCGGUUGGGCCUGCGUGUGAGCUCCCAGCAAGCCAACCCCCACAUUUUGACCUCGGAUCAGGUAGGGAUACCCGCUGAACUUAAGCAUAUCAAUAAGCGGAGGA